CCUACGGGGGGCAGCAGUGAGGAAUAUUGGUCAAUGGGCGCGAGCCUGAACCAGCCAAGUAGCGUGAAGGAUGACUGCCCUACGGGUGGUAAACUUCUUUUAUAAAGGAAUAAAGUGAGGCACGUGUGCCUUUUUGUAUGUACUUUAUGAAUAAGGAUCGGCCAACUCCGUGCCAGCAGCCGCGGUAAUACGGCGGAUCCGAGCGUUAUCCGGAUUUAUUGGGUUUAAAGGGAGCGUAGAUGGGUUGUUAAGUCAGUUGUGAAAGUUUGGGGCUCAACCGUAAAAUUGCAAUUGAUACUGGAAGUCUGGAGUACAGUAGAGGUAGGCGGAAUUCGUGGUGUAGCGGUGAAAUGCUUAGAUAUCACGAAGAACUCCGAUUGCGAAGGCAGCUUACUAGACUGCAACUGACAUUGAUGCUCGAAAGUGUGGGUAGCAAACAGGAUUAGAUACCCCAGUAGUC
rnacentral:rRNA from 1 species